GCAGGGCUUCAUAGAGUUACAAUCGAAGCUUCAUCUUAAAUGACAACUUGUGUCUGGACAUCAAAAUUACCCCAUCUUGGCCGGGCGACGUGGCUCACGCCUGUAAUCCCAGCACUUUGGGAGGCCGAGGCAGGUGGAUCACCUGAGGUCAGGAGUUCAGGACCAGCCUGGCCAAGGAAACUCUUUAACACAGAGUUUUGUUGUCAUCAUCUCUUGUGGGGGCUUUGGAUGUCUUCAAGUCCUGUCCACACAACUCUGGAGGCACACGGUCCCUAUGGGAGGGGACUUCCCUGGCAGAGUCUGUGUCCAGACACAUGUGGGAGCUGGUACAGAAGGGAAAUAGACAGCUUCCCAUUUUUAGGGGCUUGGGGCUUAAACACAUUUGUUCUUGAGUCAGGCGAGAAAUCAGCAGCAAACAAGACAAGGGUGGGAAGGAGAGGUGGUGGUGGUAAAGAGAGCGCUUCGGCUUUCAUAGAUGGAAUUUAAGGCAGAAACCAUAUGCCUGAAUUUCCAACCCUUCCAGUGCUUGGGAAUCGCCUGGGCCUCACUCCCACAGAUCGUGAUGUAUUGGUCUGGACUGGAGCCUACUCGGCAAAACUGUUCCUGACUGAUGCCACAGGGCAGGUUUGAGUCUCACUGAUCUAGAAUAGAGCCCAGCCAUCAUCCUGCAGCUACAAGAGAGGAAACUGAGUCUCAGAGGGAUUAAGCAACUUGCCUAAGGUCACAUACAAGGGAAGAGCAGAAGGAAGGUGAGAACUCAGAUCUCCUGACAACUAUCUCAAGUGGAGAGAA
rnacentral:lncRNA from 10 species